rnacentral:rRNA from 1 species
CAGUAGGUAACACAGAGGGUGCGAGCGUUAAUCGGAUUUACUGGGCGUAAAGCGUGCGUAGGCGGCUUUUUAAGUCGGAUGUGAAAUCCCUGAGCUUAACUUAGGAAUUGCAUUCGAUACUGGGAAGCUAGAGUAUGGGAGAGGAUGGUAGAAUUCCAGGUGUAGCGGUGAAAUGCGUAGAGAUCUGGAGGAAUACCGAUGGCGAAGGCAGCCAUCUGGCCUAAUACUGACGCUGAGGUACGAAAGCAUGGGGAGCAAACAGGAUUAGAUACCCCCGUAGUCCCUGUCUCUUACACAUCUC